AAGUGAAACAGAGAAAAGAGAUUGAAUAGUUGAGGUGAAAGGUUGCCUUCAACUAUGGUUAGCUCUCAAUAUCAUCUCCUCUAAGUUUUUUGGCAUCUUGUUCAGUAUAGUUCCUGAAAAUUCAUUUUUCUCCUAGUUUAUGACUACUAAGAUCUUUGACAAUAGAAAAUUACCACAUAGCUUAUUUCUCCACACAUUAAUAUUAUUCCAAAUGUUCCAAGUUUUGCCAACUAAGUGGAAUUGAUCCUAAGAAGGAGUUCUCAGACAAAUUUGCCAACUAUGUGGACUUAAUCCUGAGAAAGAGUUCUGAGAUAAAUUCACGCGUCCAACCAUUGGCGAUAUGGUUGGUAGUUUUCCUGUGAAAUUUCUAAGGUUUGACAAUGUUGAUGGACAAUGAACAAGAUCUUCUCUAUGGUGGUACAACUUUAGAGGCAAGGUAAUUUUACCACUAGUGAUGAAUCCAAAGCAUUCAUUAUUGUUGUAUAAGUAUAAUUCAAGAAACCUGGAUUGAAGCAAGGAAAAGGUUGCAAAGUCUCAUUUGAUGGUUUCAAGUGUUUUGUCCAGGACCAAAAAUCACUGAAUAUGAUUUUUGUUCUGUUGAAAACUCAGAAGGAUAAUAAGAUCCAGCUUUCAAUGAUAAGAAUGUAUGUGCCUCUAAUAACCUGACCUAAACUAUAGUGUUAUUUGGUUUUAGUCCCUAUUUUUUUUUUUGUUUUGGUUUAGUCCCUACAAAUUUAAAAAUUGUUGCUUUUAACCUCUGACAUCCUAUGUGAUCCAAUAUAAUCACGCCAUGUGGCCCAAUAAGCUGAACGUUAUGGACUAAAAAUCAACAGUUUAAAAUUUAAAGCGACUGAAUCCAAACCAAAAAAUUUACAAGGAUUAAAACCAAAAAUUUCUAUAAUUGUAGGGACUAAAAUCGUAUUUAAACAUAUUUGAGAAUGAUCAGAGAAAUGACCUUUUCUUUCAUUAGUUUACUGUUUCAUGCAAACCAUGAAAACUGCUUAAGCAUAUUAUCUAGAAAAUUUAUUAAUCUACUAAAUUUUCAUGUUUCAAAAUUGUAAGUUUUUUGAGCUUUGGGGCUUUCCCUAACCUCGACGAGCUUCUGAAACCUAACUCACCUAGCAUCAAAAGGAAUUGUAAAAGACAAAUCAUGAAAAUUAAUAAUAGACCUAUAACCAAUUGCAAACACAAAAUAUUCACAAAUCUCUCUGCAUCAUUAACUAAUAAUAUCCACAAAUAUAUAACCCUACACUUUUGUGCAAGGAGGAGUGUUUAGUAUUUUACUUAUAGAAUAUGAACUCUUAGCCUAAUGCCUUAAAGAAGAAUUUGGUGUCCACAAUAAAGUCUCAAAUAAAGGUAUUAGAUUCAAAAACUUCUAAUAUACAUGACAUGACAAUGAAAGAAACAAUGCAUUAUUAAAACUAAAAGUAGCAAAUAUGUUCUUCUUCAAAAGAGUACAAAAGGGAAUAUAAAUAAUACAUUAUGUAUUUUACAGAUAUCUUGAAAGAGCAUAAAGGGGAGUAAUUACAAGAAUGACCAUGUAACUCAAAUCCUUGAAGGGAUAAGAGGAAUAUUGUUCUGUAAGUAUGCACUGGCAGCAGCAACUCCACUUCCAAGCUUGACUGGAUAACCCACAUCUUUGAGUAUCAUCUCCACACCAGCAAGACAUCCCAACAGUUGCAACUGAAAAAUGUUUAAAGAAUUAACAAUUUCAAUGGCGUAAUGCUUUUGUAAUAAUUUGAUAUUACCUAACAGAAUAAACAUUAUCUAGCAUACUUGAAAGAACGGGACCUUGAUGAUAUGCUCAUCAAACCUAUGAAACACAGACACAGACACCAGAUACAACACUGAUAUGUCAUAUGUAGACACCGGUAAUGAUUUAAGAAAAUACGCCAGCAAUUUAAAGUAUCGUGCUAUUCAGCACCGGACAAUGUGUUUUGUCGCACUAUUAUAUUAUCCAUGAAUAUGCUAAUCAGCUAUGAAACACCUACACAAACACCAAACACAUACUGGCACUGACACAUAAACUCUGGGAAAUCAACAUUACCUCAUUCAAGUUGCCAAGAUGACCAAUUCUGAAAACCUUUCCAGCAACUUUGUUUAGUCCCAAACCUAAGCUCAAAUUGUAUCUCUUCCACCCCCUUCUAACGAUUUCAGCACCGUCAAUGUAAGGAGGAACAACAACAGCUGUCACAGUGUCACUGAACCACUCUUCCUCUUGAGUGCAGUUCUUCAAGCCCCAUGCCUCCACAGCAAGUCUGUAUUUAGCAUAUUGUCAAUCGCAUAUCAUGAAAAUAACAUUUUGUUCAAAUUUUGCUAUCUUAUAACCUUUAUUUGACAACACUUUGUAAAAUAUCGUAUUGCAAAACAAUAGUAAUUUGUUCAAAUUCUCCUACGUGAUAGGAGCUAUUUGACAAAACUGAUUUUGCUCUCUUGUAAAAAAUUAGCAUUUUCUUGUUGAAGUGCUUGACAAGAAAAUUAUGUCUUACCUGGUUGCUUUACCUAAACGAGCAUGUCUUUCGAUAAUAUUUUCUAGUCCUUCCUCGAAAAUCAGAUCAAGAGCUGCUCUAAGACCAUAGAGAAGCUGAAUGGAAGGAGUGUAAGGCCAAUAAGUUCCCAUUUUGUAGAAUUUCAGGUAGUCACUCCAAUCAAAGAAAACUCUAAGUGAUUUAGCAGAUUUUGAAGCUUCAAUAGCUUUAGGACUUGCAACCACAAAUCCUAUCCCAGUAGGAAGGGAAAGGGCUUUCUGAGAACCAGUUAUGGCCACAUCUACUCCCCAUUCGUCCAUACGGAAAUCAAGAGCACAGAUGGACGACACUCCAUCGACAAGGAGGAGGGCUGGAUGCUGGUAUGCAU